rnacentral:sRNA from 1 species
UGAAAUCUGGAAAACUCCCUAGGUCGAAGGAGGAGCGGCGGAUCCAUUGCUGUUGAGGAGAGAAGACGACGUCAUCAUCUUCUGAAACUCUUCGAAAUUAACAUUCCCAUCGCCGUCAGCAUCCACAGGUCCGAUCAUACGAGUACAGUCUUCAACAGAGCAAGACAUCCCGAGACGGUUAAGC